UGGUUUUGAGCCCUAACGAGAAAGAGAGAUCGACAGCGCUUUGGAUCCGUCGUGCUUCGCCUUCUUCCAUCCGUGCCCUCGUUAUCUCCUCAUAGCGGUCAACGUCUCCAUCGCCUCUUCCUCCUCAAAUCGAUUCCAGUUCUGAGGUAGUAGUAUCAGAAUGAACUGGGUCGCCAGGAAGAUCCAUCUUUACAACGUCACCAUGGGGCUCUACAUGCUCGAUUGGUGGGAGCGCUACCUCUUCAACAUAUUGAUCCUUGUACUGCUCUGGUUCGUCUUCUACAACGGUUCCAGAUCUGCCACGGAAUUAUACAACGGUUACAUUAAACCAAAAAUGUUGGCUGGCCCAUGUUUUGCAGUCAAAGGAAACAUCAUCACAUAAAAGGACAAGAUAUUAGAUGAGAUAAGGUUGUGUUGUAAGUUAGAUUCCUGGUAAUGUUGUUGCCUUUGUGUUGGACAUUAUCUCUCGUUUACCUUCUCAAGUGAAGGCAAAUGUAAUUGGUGUCUUUUUCACGUCUAUCUAAUGUAUCAUUUCCCCA